rnacentral:rRNA from 1 species
AUGGAGACUUGGCCCGACGACGAUGAUGAUGAAGACGAGCCGCGCCCCGCCCGGAGCACUGCCAACACCGGCGCAGGACUCUCUACUAGGCCGCCCGCCCGUGGUGGCAAGAGCAGGCAGAAGCAGGGCGCUGCCCUAUUUGGCAGCGCCCCAAAGAAGCCCAAGAACCCGACCAUAGCGACCAGGCGGAAAGAAGUCGCGGCCAAGGUGGCCAAGUAUCAGAGGCAGCCGAAGGUGCCCGUCAUGGUGUCGGCGGCCCCGCUGGUCCUCGAGAAGUCGAGCGCCGCCUCGGUUGUCAGGUCGGCGGCGACCUCCUCCACCAGCCGGCGAAUUGACCCGGCCGCCGACCUCCGGGAGACGACAGAGCGGAACGCGUGGGAGGCGCGUAAAGAAGAGGCUGACCAUCUGGCCAAGGAGCAGGCGGGCAAGGCCGCCGCGUCUGCUAAGAGGGCGCUGGCGCAGGCGGAGGCUGAAGCCACAGAGAAGGAGCGGCUCGCGGAGGCCGCACGCCGCCAAGAGCCGCUGCUCGUGACGCUCCUGAACACUGCGCCGCCUCCACCUUAG